GAUGAACGCUGGCGGCGUGCUUAACACAUGCAAGUCGAGCGAGAAGUUUUGAAAAGAUUCUUCGGAUGAAAUUUAAAAUGGAAAGCGGCGGACGGGUGAGUAACGCGUAGGCAACCUGCCCCAUACAAAGGGAUAGCAUUUGGAAACGAAUAUUAAUACCUUAUGAAACUUAACUAGUGCAUGCUAGGUAGGUCAAAGAUUUAUCGGUAUGGGAUGGGCCUGCGUCUGAUUAGCUAGUUGGUGAGGUAACGGCUCACCAAGGCGACGAUCAGUAGCCGACCUGAGAGGGUGAACGGCCACAUUGGAACUGAGACACGGUCCAAACUCCUACGGGAGGCAGCAGUGGGGAAUAUUGCACAAUGGGGGAAACCCUGACGCAGCAACGCCGCGUGAACGAUGAAGGCCUUUGGGUCGUAAAGUUCUGUUCUAGGUGAUGAAAACUGACAGUAACCUAGGAGAAAGCCCCGGCUAACUCCGUG
rnacentral:rRNA from 1 species